rnacentral:rRNA from 1 species
ACGGGUGAGUAAUAUAUCGGAACGUGCCCAGUAGUGGGGGAUAGCCCGGCGAAAGCCGGAUUAAUACCGCAUACGACCUACGGGUGAAAGCGGGGGAUCGCAAGACCUCGCGCUAUUGGAGCGGCCGAUAUCAGAUUAGCUAGUUGGUGGGGUAAAAGCCCACCAAGGCGACGAUCUGUAGCUGGUCUGAGAGGACGACCAGCCACACUGGGACUGAGACACGGCCCAGACUCCUACGGGAGGCAGCAGUGGGGAAUUUUGGACAAUGGGCGCAAGCCUGAUCCAGCCAUGCCGCGUGCGGGAAGAAGGCCUUCGGGUUGUAAACCGCUUUUGUCAGGGAAGAAACGGUCUGAUCUAAUACAUUGGGCUAAUGACGGUACCUGAAGAAUAAGCACCGGCUAACUACGUGCCAGCAGCCGCGGUAAUACGUAGGGUGCAAGCGUUAAUCGGAAUUACUGGGCGUAAAGCGUGCGCAGGCGGCUUUGCAAGACAGAUGUGAAAUCCCCGGGCUCAACCUGGGAACUGCAUUUGUGACUGCAAGGCUAGAGUACGGUAGAGGGGGAUGGAAUUCCGCGUGUAGCAGUG